rnacentral:rRNA from 1 species
UUCGGGAGUUAACUUAGUGGCGAACGGGUGAGUAACGCGUGAGGAACCUGCCUUUCAGUGGGGGACAACAGUUGGAAACGACUGCUAAUACCGCAUGGAUUUCUUAUCAAAGCUCCGGCGGUAUGAGAUGGACCCGCGUCUGAUUAGCUAGUUGGUAAGGUAACGGCUUACCAAGGCGACGAUGCGUAGCCGACCUGAGAGGGUGAUCGGCCACAUUGGGACUGAGACACGGCCCAGACUCCUACGGGAGGCAGCAGUGGGGAAUAUUGCACAAUGGGGGAAACCCUGAUGCAGCAACGCCGCGUGAGUGAUGACGGUCUUCGGAUUGUAAAGCUCUGUCUUUAGGGACGAUAAUGACGGUACCUAAGGAGGAAGCCACGGCUAACUACGUG